rnacentral:rRNA from 1 species
AGUGAACGCUGGCGGUAGGCCUAACACAUGCAAGUCGAACGGCAGCACAGUAAGAGCUUGCUCUUACGGGUGGCGAGUGGCGGACGGGUGAGGAAUACAUCGGAAUCUACUUUUUCGUGGGGGAUAACGUAGGGAAACUUACGCUAAUACCGCAUACGACCUACGGGUGAAAGCAGGGGAUCUUCGGACCUUGCGCGAUUGAAUGAGCCGAUGUCGGAUUAGCUAGUUGGCGGGGUAAAGGCCCACCAAGGCGACGAUCCGUAGCUGGUCUGAGAGGAUGAUGAGGCACACUGGAAGUGAGACACGGUCCAGACUCCUACGGGAGGCAGCAGUGGGGAAUAUUGGACGAUGGGCGCAAGCCUGAUCCAGCCAUACCGCGUGAGUGAAGAAGGCCUUCGGGUUGUAAAGCCCUUUUGUUGGGAAAGAAAAGCAGCAGGUUAAUACCCCGCUGUUCUGACGGUACCCAAAGAAUAAGCACCGGCUAACUUCGUG